AAGCACGAAAGAAGUGAAGUGAAUGAACAGAACAAAGCACACAACACCUUGGAACCGAGAUCUGUGGUGUGUUUUCUCUUUGUCUUUCUUUCGCUCGUUUCACGCUUUCACUCACUUCGUUCUUUUCAUUGUAAACGAGCGAAACAAAGAGAAAGAGAAAGAGACACCACAGUUGAUGAUUCAUAGACUUGGAAAUUAAGGUGAAAGGAU
rnacentral:ribozyme from 1 species